UGAGGAAUAUUGGGCAAUGCCCGCAAGGGUGACCCAGCAACGCCGCGUGAAUGAUGAAGGUCGUAAGAUUGUAAAGUUCUUUUGGAGAAGACGAAAGGUAUGUAUAGGAAAUGAUAUAUAUUUGACUGUAUUCUCAGAAGAAGCCCCGGCUAACUACGUGCCAGCAGCCGCGGUAAUACGUAGGGGGCAAGCGUUGUCCUGAUUUACUGGGUGUAAAGGGCGCGUAGGCGGGCUAAUAAGUCAGAGGUGAAAUCCUGCAGCUUAACUGCAGAACUGCCUUUGAUACUGUUAGUCUUGAGUUCGAAAGAGAGAGAUGGAAUUCCGGGUGUAGUAGUGAAAUACGUAGAUAUCCGGAGGAACACCGGAGGCGAGGCGAUCUCUUGGUUCGAUACUGACGCUGAGGCGCGAAAGCGUGGGGAUCAAACAG
rnacentral:rRNA from 1 species